UCGUGGAGCAGUCCUGUGGGUAGGCUGCCGUUCGGCUGAGCAGGAUGGAACCCGGUGCGAGUCCGGGACGGUCCCGCCACUGUGAGCGAUUGAUCGCGAGUCAGACACGUUCGCUCGGCCGGUCCGUC
rnacentral:ncRNA from 2 species